rnacentral:rRNA from 1 species
CAGCAGCCACGGUAAUACGUAGGUGGCAAGCGUUGUCCGGAAUUAUUGGGCGUAAAGGGCUCGCAGGCGGUUUCUUAAGUCUGAUGUGAAAGCCCCCGGCUCAACCGGGGAGGGUCGUUGGAAACUGGGAAACUUGAGUGCAGAAGAGGAGAGUGGAAUUCCACGUGUAGCGGUGAAAUGCUUAGAGAUGUGGAGGAACACCAGUGGCGAAGGCGACUCUCUGGUCUGUAACUGACGCUGAGGAGCGAAAGCGUGGGGAGCGAACAGGAUUAGAUACCCGCGUAGUCCCUGUCUCUUAUAC